rnacentral:rRNA from 1 species
GACGAACGCUGGCGGCGUGCUUAACACAUGCAAGUCGAACGGAAAGGCCCUGCUUUUGUGGGGUGCUCGAGUGGCGAACGGGUGAGUAACACGUGAGUAACCUGCCCUUGACUUUGGGAUAACUUCAGGAAACUGGGGCUAAUACCGGAUAGGAGCUCCUGCUGCAUGGGGGGGGUUGGAAAGUUUCGGCGGUUGGGGAUGGACUCGCGGCUUAUCAGCUUGUUGGUGGGGUAGUGGCUUACCAAGGCUUUGACGGGUAGCCGGCCUGAGAGGGUGACCGGCCACAUUGGGACUGAGAUGCGGCCCAGACUCCUACGGGAGGCAGCAGUGGGGAAUAUUGCACAAUGGGCGGAAGCCUGAUGCAGCAACGCCGCGUGCGGGAUGACGGCCUUCGGGUUGUAAACCGCUUUCGCCUGUGACGAAGCGUGAGUGACGGUAAUGGGUAAAGAAGCACCGGCUAACUACGUG